CGCUGGCGGCGUGCCUAAUACAUGCAAGUCGAGCGGACAGAAGGGAGCUGCUCCCGGACGUAGCGGCGGACGGGUGAGUAACACGUGGGCAACCUGCCCCUUAGACUGGGAUAACUCCGGGAAACCGGAGCUAAUACCGGAUAAUCCCUUUCUCCACCUGGAGAGAGGGUGAAAGAUGGCUUCGGCUAUCACUAGGGGAUGGGCCCGCGGCGCAUUAGCUAGUUGGUAAGGUAACGGCUUACCAAGGCAACGAUGCGUAGCCGACCUGAGAGGGUGAUCGGCCACACUGGGACUGAGACACGGCCCAGACUCCUACGGGAGGCGGCAGUAGGGAAUCUUCCGCAAUGGACGAAAGUCUGACGGAGCAACGCCGCGUGAGUGAGGAAGGCCUUCGGGUCGUAAAGCUCUGUUGUGAGGGAAGAAGCGGUACCGUUCGAAUAGGGCGGUACCUUGACGGUACCUCACCAGAAAGCCACGGCUAACUACGUGCCAGCAGCCGC
rnacentral:rRNA from 1 species